AUUUAAGGGUUGACUGCCACGUGGAAGGAUCUUUUGCUGGACAUCCCUCCUUGGUGAAGCUUCCCCCUGCAAACCUGGAAUCUUCUGAUAUAGGUGGAUUGUUGAAAAAAGCCUUCCUCAAAUAGGCCUCCCACAGCUUCUGUAAGAAUCUACCAGAAACCAGAGAUUGACUUACCCAAGAGAUCUGCUGCCGGUUCUCCAGGACUGCAUAAAGGUGGGAUAUGAGGAGCAGCAUCCUCCAUUUGAAGUUCUGUUUUCCAUGCUUCUGGAACAAUGUGCAAGCUUUUUAGUUGAGACGUAACUCCUGUGGCUUCGGAAGGCCUUGACAUCAGAAUGUGCUUUGUGAGGCAUGCUUGGUGAAGAGUAAUGGAGCUGCAGCACAAGAGAUGUGGCAAUCACUGGUGAGUGCUGUAGUUGGACGAGGCCCUUGGCUUUCCCUGCUGCUGCUUCUAGAGAAGGAGUACUGGUGUGCUCAUCUUCCUCUUCUGCUCUCUCCUUGGCAUCCUUGUACCAGCAAGUGUCAGAAAAGGAUUACACUAGACUGACCGUUGUUCCGACUCAGCUGGACCCACUGUGGCUGAGUGCUGUUAAGGUCAUAUGCUUUCCUCUGGUGCUGGCAAUCCUCACACACUAGCAGCGUCCUUCCUGAAACUGCAAAGGAUUUGACUUUUUUCCUUAAUGUCAAGCUAACCCUGGAGAAAAUUAGGUGUGCACGUGGCCCACUGUCUAAGCAGAGCUUGUGAGGACUUCGGGGAGCAGCAGGAAUAAGUUUGCCUGAUGUAUCAGCACCUGAGAUGGCUUGGUGCUGCUAUUCAGGUCUCAGAGCCUGCUGCUGUAGGAAGAACUGUGCAGUACCCCUGCCCUGCUCCUCCGCUCGGGUUCUGCACUGCUCUACAGAGUGCCUUGCUGGCUCCUGACCUGCCUCACAAUGGAAAAUUCUUCCAUGAGCAUUAGUUACAGGAAGCAAACUAACAUCUCCUUUAAACGGCACAGCCUCACAGGGAGGAAACAGCUCAUUUUGUGAAGUAUACUGUUUACCGGAAAGCGGAUGGAUCAUCUCCAAAAUACACUUCACCAAAAGGAAGAAAAAUACUUGAGGUGUUUCAGUUUUUAUACCAGUGUCCAAAUGUUAUGUACUUUGUAGCUAACAAAAACUUGGGCUGAAAGUGUCCUAUCCUGCACCAGGAAAUUGGUAAAACUGAGUUUCAGGUUUAAGUAAAAAUAUCCUGAGUGUGGAGGGCUUGCCAAGAUUCAUUUUACUGUGAUACUCCAUAGCCUCACUGAGCCCCCUGCAAGCUCUGUGCUUUGUGGUGGGAGUGUGAAACAAACAUAACAUCUCCUAGUGAUGCUGAUAAAUGUUGCACUCAUUUUCCUCAAUCAUUAUAAUGCAGCAACUGCUUAAAGCUGGAGCAUGGUUUGGUUCUUACACAGGGCUGGUUUCGUGAUGGCUUCAUCUGUAAUUACAGUUUCUGCCGACGUCUUUUUGGUCUGACCUCAGACUGAAGGGAAAGUGCCUCAUUCCUUAACUCGGGAGAUGUGAGUAGGAGUGUUUACAUGGAUUCAGUGCAAGAUUAGCACUGCUUUUGAUUUAGAUUAUCUACAUCAGAUGGUUUCCUGUAACGUGACACUCAUUCGUUCAAAUUCAAAGCAUUGUGAUUUGGCAAAAAAAAAAAUAAAAAAAUGCAGCCACACACAGUAUUGAAUGAGGAGCUCAGGCCACAGCAAGGAAGCUACGCAGCAAGAACAAAUGAACGUGUGCAAGUGAUGGCCACACAACACACUCAGCACUGCUUUUGGGGAAGUUCUGCCUGGCCGUGGGUGCAGCAAGCAGUACAGAAAUGAUUGUAACAUUCAUUACGUGGGUGCUCCUUGCUAUAUACUGUUAACUAUCUUCUUUUGAUGUGUUAAAUGUAAUAGAAAACAGAAAAAAAGGCAACAGAAACCUCUGGGGGCUGAGUCUGAGCACCAUGAGAGCAAGCAGGAAAGUGUGUGCAUCUUGAAAGGUUGGUGAAACACCUGAGGGACAUCCAGAGCUUCAUGGCCAUCAUUUCACACUGUGCCAGAACACAGAGGAUUCUGCAUGUAUCUAUGUCUGCAUCAGCUCUUUAAUCUCUAUCAGAUUUGGCAGUUAUCUGACUCUAACAUUUCCAACAAGUAGUUGUUUGCAUAGUGGAUAAAAGCCUUCAUUGUCAAUCCAAAGACAUUCAUCUGUCUGCUCCAGAGGUCAAACCCUCAAAUGGUUUGGUAAUUCUAGCACCAUCAUCUCCAUGUGAUUCCAGUGCAACGUGGUUAGUUUCAGGUUGUGACUUUCACUUGAAAGGGCAUCCGGGCUAUGGCCAACUCCUCUGAACUGUUUUGUUAAGCAAACUCUCAUAUCGCUUGACUCUGCUUGACAAUUGCAAAAUGUUCAGCCAGUUCAUAUUUAUCCCAUUGUUACUAAAACUCACAAUUCAGUGUGUCUUACUUCAGACAGCAGUAUAUAUGUCAGUAGUGAUUGCUGGCUAUUUCCUGGAGCUAAAUUAAAAGCAGCUGUGGCUUGAUCUAAAUGACCAGCAGACAUAUUUCCAAAAGCAGCCAAUCACUUAAAGAUGCAGCUAAAUUCAGCUCAUAUCACCUAUCUGUUUGGAUGGCAAUUUAAAUCCUAAUUGACUGUAUGAGACUUUUGUUAGUCCCUGGGGACAUCUACCCAUUUUAAAUAAAUGCAUUACUUUGGAAGGCCUUCUUGCAGUUUCCCAGCAGUGAAUUUCCAGAGAGAUGGCUUUCAUUCGUCUCCUCUGGCUUUGGAGGAUGCACAAGAAGACCUGCAGCUGAUGUAAGCCUCCUGAAUGCUUCUAGCUCCUCAAUCCCCAUCUCCUUGUUCAGACCUUCAUCAGGUCAGGAGUCACAGACACAUCCAUGCCCUGAUGCCCAUCUCCAGGGCUCACACGAGUUCCCUCAAGACACCCUUUGGCACAGCCUUUGGGAGGAGGCAGUACCCCCUGCAGUCCCCAGCAAGGGGAGGUGUUGCAGCAAGGUCAGCUGUGUGCAUGUCCAUGCCGUGUGGUUCCUGCGCUGAACAAUUGGAAAAAAUGACUGCCAUAAUGGGAUGCAGGCUCACGAGCUGAAUCAGCCUCAGCAGGGCUUUUGUUGUUUCAACUGUUUCUUGUAUAGAAAGCUCCAUUCUGUGGCCAUCUGUGAAGGCUGGCUGAGGACCAGCAGUGUGGAACCCGUGCUGAUGAUCGCUGCUAACUGGGAGCAGGCCCUGCUGCCAGGCUGGGGGAGCAGGUCAGGCCAAGCCCUGACCCAGGCCCUGAGGUGCUGGCUGCAGGUGAGGGGAGGUGGCAGCUUUGCCACUGUGCAUCACUGCUGCCAGCCAGCACUGCUCCAACCACUGAGGGGAAUGGAGAGAUGGUGAGAGGGUGGCAGCAGUCAACCCGCACCACGUGCUUAGUUUAUUAUGGCUUAUGCCUAUCAAAUGCACACAGGCUCUGCUGAAAAAUGGUGGUGCAAUCGUGGAGCAGCUGUGCACCUGCCUGUGAGUUUCCUGCUGCCUUCACUGCCGUGCAGUGGAUCUGGAUGUUCACCUGCUGCAUGGAGCCCUGUGGCACAACAGGGACAGCUGGUACAGGCUGACAGCAACAGGGCUGGUUGGAAUCAGACAAGUAAUUGUCCUGCCCUGUUCAACUGAAGGAAAUGAGUUAUCCAGCUUCAAAUAUGAGGAAUGACAGAGGGAGAGAACGGACUAGGUUUGCUGUGCAAGUUUAUGGUGGGUGGCACAUGAAGCAAUGGGCAGGAGGGAGCUGCCAUUCCUGACUUUCUGCCUCCACUACUGCAGGGCAUGCACUCUGUGAGGGCUGUGCAAAGUGUUGGUUUCCUUCACGUGAGGAACAGGCACAGAUGCUUCUCUCUGUGCAUGACUGUCUUUGUAGCACU